GCACACAGAACCAAUAACCUUGAUGUUAAAAAAAAAAACAAAAGGUAAUUUAUAACUGAUAAUACAAAGGAAGUCGUAACAAGAAUACAACAGAUGAACGAUAAAAUUGUUGCUGUAACUAAAACUAUGGGAUAGGAAGAGUAACCAAAAAUAGUUGAAGAAAACUUUAAUAAAAAAUUCCUAUCAAAUGAUGCCAGAAACUCUGAGGGAGGACAGCACCACAAAAAUAAGCCAAAGCAGCAUGAAGUACACACUCGUUACCCAGGCCCAAAUCCUUGGCCCUCCAAGCUCUGCACCCAGGGUCAGACGCCUGUACACAAGAACAGCAAUACAGCCCACAGAAGUAGCAAAGAAAACAAGCAAUGAGAAGCUGAGUCCCGCAGCAUUCUCAAUCCGCAAGGGUUCCCUAUACAUAAAGAAAUUGUAGGCAGUGUCUACAAGCCAGGGCACUCCGAUGCCCACAUAUAUGUUCACUGAAUUGCUGCAAGUGAUGUUUGCAAUGGCAGAAUCUGCUGUUGUUUGGCGUUCAGCAGCAAUCUUACUUGCCACCAAGUCUGGCCAUGAAGUCCCACUAGCUAAUGCCGUAAAUGCAAUGACAUAAGCAUUUAUUCCUGAAAGAAAACAUACCACAUGGGUAGUGAGGGAUUAAAAGUGACCAGGUGGUUACAAGCCUAAUCAUCAACUCUAGAAAUGGAAAUUUGCAACUUUAUUUGCAAAGAGAAGGGUAACCUGUGACGCAGCUUAUAAGAUCUGUGAGCUUUGUUACAAUGUAGGCUAUCCCACUAAUAAAAAGAAGAGAGCAAAUAAAAGCAAUCCAUCCAUGAGCAAUACGACAAGGAGGCACAAAAGCAAACAAAAGUCUCCAAGGUGCAAGUAGUAAUUCCCAGAAAAUUCUUGCCACCCGUAUAUGAAUACCGACUAAUUUUCUUGAUUCCAGGCUUUCCAACUGCUUAUGAAAAUAGACAUUAUUCACCAAUAUACAAAAAAACAAAAAGGAAAUUGUUCACCAAGAAUAAAUAAAGAAACAACAAAAAGAAAAUUUUUGUGUAGGAGGUAUGAGAGAGAAAAAAAGAAAGUUAAAGUUGCACAAACAUGUGAGCAGAAACCUACUUGAUAAGAAAAAUCAAGUAAAUGAGGAACUAUGUGUUUCCAAUCACUUCAAAUAAUUUGUAUGAGCUGUGAGAACUUCAACUUAGAAACCUAGAUGUGGACACUUUUUAAAAACAAAAACCAAAAAAUGAUGCUUUUACAUUUUUAAGCAAUCAAAGGGCAGUUCUCCAUCUGGAUUAACAAGCGCAUAAAGGAAUGAGAGAGGAAAGAUUUUGAUUUAUAAUCAUAUGGUGCACCAAUCCUUGAGCAGUACUGCCAAUAAAUUUUCUAGCACAUUCCACACUGGAUGUGAUCGUAUGUCCAGAGAGAAGGAGAGAGUUAUGUUUCCUAGCAUAAUAUGCCCCAAACAAGGAUUUUUCGGAAUCUUUGUGGAGUUCUCAACAAGUUCAACAUAUACGACAAAAGUUAUGGCACCAACCACGAUUGCAUCCAAAAAUUGCUGUUUCCAAAGAGCAACCACAUUGAAAUCUUGCUCACUGUGAAAAUUAUUUUCGGAGCAUUCAGCUGCAUCAUCUGUUUCGGGCACUUUCUGAUAUACUGGAUCUGUCCCAACAUUUGAAUGGAUGGAGAAUAUAUCAACAGCAUUCCUGCUUUCAUCUUCGCCAAUUUGAAUAAUCUCGGAGUAUCCUUCAUAAACAAUGGGCUGAUGUUUACAUGAAGUGACCUCUUCUGGUACCCACUCCUUAGGCCUCUCAGUUCUUCCACUUUGGAUUGAAAAUAGCAUAAGGAAAAAAGAUAGUUGAGGAUGAAAUCUCAAUUGAAACAAAAUUUUCAUGGAUUUGAUUCAAAAGAAAAGGACAGGUAAGGAAGAGGAAAAUACAAAGGAAAAGAUAAGUAAGGCCAUCGCUUAUCUUGAGCAUAAGCAUGUGUUAGCAGCAAACCAUACUGCAGUACAGUUAAUAAGGCCUCCCAUAGUGUAAUGGCAUUGGGAGUCCAUACCUCCAAAAUUAUGUAGAGCCAAAUAUAAGCCCAGAAAGACCAAAAGAGCUCCACAAGCCAAACACCUAAAUCAGAUAUCUUUUUCAAUUCUCCAGCUUUGGGAACCACCACACAAACAGCAUGGAUGGGAAAAAGAUCGAAUGCAGCAGAACCAACAAGUGUUCCAGGACCCAAUCCUCCAGCAUACAGGUUCCCAAUGUUCCUUAUGGCAUCAAUAGUUGCUAAUGAUAUCUGAGGGAAACUAGUUCCAAAUGCCAGCAAGGAAAUAUCUGCAAUUGCAUAAUUCCACACCUUCUCAUAUCUAAUAACUUCAGUACUAGUGUCCGGAUCUAUCUCCACCACCAUUCGAGAAUGCUUGACCACAUUCUCCAUAGACCGGAAGAACCGAGCAGUUAUAGCUGAUAAUCCAAGGAAACAAUAAGCUAGGGCAAGAAAAUACAAGAAGGUCCUGAACCCAUUACCCAGGGCUGUUUCAGCAUGAAAAAGCAAGUAGCUUUCACAUCUUUCACGCCCCAAGAUAUUGAGAAGCCCAAAUCUGCUCGUUGCGCUUGGAUUUUGCGUCUCCAAGACCAUCUGAAUAGCCUUGAAGUCGCAAUUCACGCCCAAGGAAUCAGUAACACAGAACAGUAACAAUAUCUGCUAGAUGACACAACGUAAGGUUAGAGCUAAGUGAACCAUUCAAUAGCAGGAUUAGAACUUUGUCCACACGUUACAGGCUUACAGCCAUUGUAGCUUUUUCUCCACAAACGACAUAUACAUCACAGCACAAAUUGAAAUUUAAAGCAAAACCGAUCAGGAAAUGAAUCCGACACCGUAUCUAUCUAUUUAACAUAAUCGCAGCACGAAUCAUAAAAUUCAAGACUCGGGAGUAGUUUGAGCGGGCCACACGAGGGAAAAUAUAUAGAAAAAGAAGCUUAGAUUCAAAAUAUUUAAACAAAGAAACUGACCAAGCUGAAUUCACCGGAGCUCAGGAGUACCGCGUGUGUUUUCACUGAAUUUCGGGCUUGGCAAUACCACGAGAUUGGGAUUUGUGUGUUUUGGAACCAAAUGCGAAUGUAAUAACUUUUCGCAGGAGAUGCAAUUAUAAGGCGUCUGUUGUCCACGAGAACAUUGAGAUCAGGAGCAUGUUUGCUUUGACACAGGAAGAAGACGCAUUCCAGAUUAUAGCUCCGCGAACCAGUUUUUAAUUAAGUGGUGGAGAUUAAUCUCUUAAAUCGUUAAACCAUCA
rnacentral:misc_RNA from 1 species